UAGUUUCCUCUUCACUUCCUUUACCAGUGCUAGUAGAUGGAGUGUUUUGUUGUUUUUUGGUGGUUUUGACAAAGAAAUUUCAAAAGCAGUCACUACCAAUCAGCAAGUUCAUGCCAUGCCUCUAGGUGGAUGCAGGCAGAUCUGCUGGGCAUCCUGGCUGGCCUGGCCAUCUCUCCCUAUGUCCGUCUAGCAUGCUGGGAUUUGGUUAUUUCCCAUCAAUCCCUUUUUCAGUUAUAGCAGAUACCAUUUGCAGAUGGGAGAGCCUUCUUUUUUCAUGCUUCCCACUGCCCAAGCCACACAGGAAGUUGCUGGGCUGAUAUUUGCAGGGCCUUAGCCACCCACUGUUUCUUUCUCAACUGAGGGAGGAGAAGGUGUCCUUGUGGCCCCUCUGUGUUUCUUUAAAGUUAGAACUUACAUUGGGCCCUCAGGCAGCAACCUGAUUUAAGCCUAAAUGUACUCUUAUCCACUGCAUUUGUGCUAGUAAGUGGAAAAGCUUUCAGCCUGGGGCAGAGGCACUCUGCGUUCUCUCUGAAGGAGGAACCUACUCUAGGGCAACUUCUUUACCAGCUUUUCCCCAAUCCAGUAACUUGAAGGUUCCCUAACCCAUCUCUCUUCUCUUCCCUGUAGCAACAGCUCAAAGAAUCCUAUUGCUUGCAGUCUUUGGGCAGACUUGAGAACUCAUCCCAUCCUUUAUCUUCCCAGUUUCCUGCCUUGCACAAGCUUUCACAAAACGUCAAUCUCAGACCUCAGGGUCCCAGAAAUCCAGCACUCCCCCAAUCUCCCAGAAUGCAGUCCCUGUUUCUUGAAGACAACUGGUUGAGCUGAAUGUGCUGGACAAACCUAUUGCUCCUUUGGAAAAGAGCCUUUCCACUCAGAGAUGGCUGCACAGGUCUCUGGCUCUACAGACAGGAGUGCCAACUCAGAGGAAACCGUUAGCCCCAGAUAACAUCACAACCACCAAGGUGACAUGCAGCUGCUCUCCUGCCGCCCAGGCUGACAACAGGUUGGGCACAUCAGUCCCCAGAAGCCUCCUCUGACCAUGGCCAGUCUCAGGAAAUGAGUGUCAACAGCCUAGCAGAUGGGAACCCA